rnacentral:rRNA from 1 species
GACGAACGCUGGCGGCGCGCCUAACACAUGCAAGUCGAACGGAGCUGAGAGAAGCUUGCUUUUCUUAGCUUAGUGGCGAACGGGUGAGUAACGCGUGAGUAACCUGCCCUGGAGUGGGGGACAACAGUUGGAAACGACUGCUAAUACCGCAUAAGCCCACGAUCCGGCAUCGGCUUGAGGGAAAAGGAUUUAUUCGCUUCAGGAUGGACUCGCGUCCAAUUAGCUAGUUGGUGAGGUAACGGCCCACCAAGGCGACGAGUGGUAGACGGACGGAGAGGUUGAACGGCCACAUUGGGACUGAGACACGGCCCAGACUCCUACGGGAGGCAGCAGUGGGGGAUAUUGCACAAUGGGGGAAACCCUGAUGCAGCGACGCCGCGUGGAGGAAGAAGGUUUUCGGAUUGUAAACUCCUGUCGUUAGGGACGAUAAUGACGGUACCUAAAAAGAAAGCACCGGCUAACUACGUG